rnacentral:rRNA from 1 species
GAUGAACGCUGGCGGCGUGCCUAAUACAUGCAAGUCGAGCGAACAGACGAGGAGCUUGCUCCUCUGACGUUAGCGGCGGACUGGUGAGUAACACGUGGAUAACCUACCUAUAAGACUGGGAUAACUUCGGGAAACCGGAGCUAAUACCGGAUAAUAUAUUGAACCGCAUGGUUCAAUAGUGAAAGACGGUUUUGCUGUCACUUAUAGAUGGAUCCGCGCCGCAUUAGCUAGUUGGUAAGGUAACGGCUUACCAAGGCAACGAUGCGUAGCCGACCUGAGAGGGUGAUCGGCCACACUGGAACUGAGACACGGUCCAGACUCCUACGGGAGGCAGCAGUAGGGAAUCUUCCGCAAUGGGCGAAAGCUUGACGGAGCAACGCCGCGUGAGUGAUGAAGGUCUUCGGAUCGUAAAACUCUGUUAUUAGGGAAGAACAAAUGUGUAAGUAACUAUGCACGUCUUGACGGUACCUAAUCAGAAAGCCACGGCUAACUACGUG